AUUAAAUGGGUGUAUUGGACUGUACAGAGGGCUACAUCAGCUUGGAAGGAAAAGUGAUGCUCCCACUGCCCCGAGACCCCAAGCAAGCUCCUUUCUGGCAGGCGGUGGCAGUGCCCUGCUGACCAUCCUGCCCACCCAGCAGCCCCUGAGCCCACGGGUGUUGAAGGUCACACCAGGGGAGCGCUGAGUACUGCCAACACUUUGGCUUUUAUUCUCCAGGCUUGGCUGUAGCUGCAUCCCUGUGGCUCUCCACUCCCUCUCCCCCUCCAUCUUGUCAGCCGUUCUCUUUCGGCGGCACUUAAUCUUCUCAUCGUUCUCCUUCUCCCUGCUGUGCGCUGCUGCUUUUGUUCCUCCACUCUCAGAAGGAAUCUGACCUUUGCUUUAUUUCACUCCUGGCUUUUACUAACUGGGCACCAGCUUUAUUUCCCUACCUCUGCCUCCCUACCCCUACUCUUUAUGCGUAAAUUCAGCAUCUGCAGAGAGCCUACGCGAAGCCUCCUGCAUUCAGCCGCAUCCCUAAGCACGCAGCCCAGGAGAUGCUCAAGGGCGUGGAGGUGCAGGUUUGGAAAGGGAUGAACACACACCAUCGUACCCACAGCAAAGCAGGGCUGUUACGAAACUCCCGUUCAUGCUUUCCCAUCCCUUACGCGGCUCACUGGCAGAACAGCGUUUCUGUGCAUAACAAAGCAGGGUCAGCAAAUUAAAUAUAAAUUAAAUAUAAAUAACUGGCAGAUAAGCAGCUGCGCUCCGAAGGUGGAUAGUCAGUAUGUCUGUCUCCCAGGACUGCAGUCGCCGGCAGAUCCAUAGCAAUCCUGUCGCAAGAAGAGAAAGGAAGGGUGACCCGUCGUUUCCUGCCUCACGCCUGCUGGGAAUUUGAGUCCCUUGUCAGAGCUCGUCACCACGUCCCCCGUGCCAGCCUCGGGGUGAGCGGCCUUUCCCCAAACGCCUGCUGGAAAUUUCCAGAGGCACCACAGCAGUCCCGAAACAAAAAGCUGCUGUGCCUCCCCGCAGGCGCUUCAUUUUGGGAUCUAUUGCUCCUGGCAGGCACGCCAUGCUCUGCUUCACCGACUGAAUUUAAACCUCUUACGUGCUGCUCAGUUGGAGGGUUUCAUAUUAAGUGUCCAAAAUCAGAAUUAGUCCC
rnacentral:lncRNA from 1 species